CACAGUGGCAGUUGCAGUGACAAGGAAAAUUAAGUGUGGUGGCAAAGUUAACAAAUGGCAGAUCUGAGUUUGGGAGUUCUAAUUGAUAUUGUUGAUGAGGAUUGGAUGAGAGACACUCUCCCUGCUGAUGAUCAGGAAGCGCAGCAAGUUAACGGGGAAGUUUGGCACGAUCUUGCCCAUGGCCAAGAGUAGAAGUUUCAAUUAACUAGUGCCAAUGUAUCAUGCUUAGCAGUAAGUAGAUGAUAUUGCUUCCAGUUACAGGACUAGGCACCUUUCUAUGUAUGUGAUAGAUAUCAAGAAUUUCGGGUUCAUUUCUGGUUGUUUGCUGUCUUAAAUGUACUCUUUUUAUAUUUGUGCUUUACAUUCUAAAGGCAACAUAUGCGUAAUGAUCGAUUUACUGUCGUGCAUGUCAAAUCUGUAAUAGAUUUUGUUACUAAUGUUUAUAGUGUGAGUAAUGAAAGGAAGGAGAUGGAGUUUAAAUAAUAUAA